rnacentral:rRNA from 1 species
AUCGAACGCUGGCGGCAGGCCUAACACAUGCAAGUCGAACGGAGUGGCGGACGGGUGAGUAAUGUCGUGGAAACUGCCUGAUGUAGGGGGAUAACGGCCGGAAACGGGCGCUACUACCGCAUACUACCAGAUGAGCCUAGGGCGGAUUAGCUAUGUGGGUGGGUAAAGGCAUACCAAGGCGAAGAUCCGUUACAGGUCUGAGAGGAGUAUCAGGCAAAAUGGAAAUUGAGCAUGGUCCAUGAUCCUACGGGAGGCAGCAGUGGGGAAUAUUGGACAAUGGGCGAAAGGCCGAUCCCGCCAUGCCGGGUGGGUGGAAGAGGGUUUCGGAUUGUAAAGACCUUUAAGUUGGGAGACGGUACUAACAGAAUAAGCACCGGCUAAAUUCGUGCCAGGCGGCGGGGUAAUAC